rnacentral:tRNA from 1 species
AAAGAAUUAGUUAAAGUAUAACAUAAAUUUGUCUAAUUUAAAUUAUUAAAAUAGUAAUAUUCUUUU